rnacentral:rRNA from 1 species
GACAGAGGGUGCAAACGUUGCUCGGAAUCACUGGGCGUAAAGAGCUCGUAGGCGGUCUGUCGCGUCGGCUGUGAAAACCCGAGGCUCAACCUCGGGCCUGCAGUCGAUACGGGCAAACUAGAGUACUGCAGGGGAGACUGGAAUUCCUGGUGUAGCGGUGAAAUGCGCAGAUAUCAGGAGGAACACCGGUGGCGAAGGCGGGUCUCUGGGCCGAUACUGACGCUGAGGAGCGAAAGCGUGGGGAGCGAACAGG